ACGCUCGACACCUACGGGAGACAGCAGUGGGGAAUAUUGCACAAUGGGGGAAACCCUGAUGCAGCGACGCCGCGUGGAGGAAGAAGGUCUUCGGAUUGUAAACUCCUGUUGUUGGGGAAAAAGAGGAUGGUACCCAACAAGGAAGUGACGGCUAACUACGUACCAGCAGCCGCGGUAAUCUGAGCGGGCUGGCAAGGC
rnacentral:rRNA from 1 species